UACGGGGGGAGCAAGCGUUGUUCGGAUUUACUGGGCGUAAAGGGCGCGUAGGCGGCCACCGCAAGUCAAUUGUGAAAUCUCCGGGCUUAACUCGGAAAGGUCAACUGAUACUGCGGGGCUAGAGUGCGGAAGGGGCAACUGGAAUUCUCGGUGUAGCGGUGAAAUGCGUAGAGAUCGGGAGGAACACCAGAGGCGAAGGCGGCGACCUGGACAGGUACUGACACUCAACUACGAAAGCGUGGGGAGCAAACAGG
rnacentral:rRNA from 1 species